CCCAGUCAAAGGAUAAGGAUUUGAGAAACAUGCAUUUUACUUUCAGUUGAUUAGAAAUUGCCUGAUAUAAAUAUAAUUUAAAGUUUUAAUAGUCCUUUAUUUAUAAUAGGGCUCCAGUGGUCCAGAAUCUUUUACUGUCUACCACUACAAUGGAUUGAAGCAGUCAAAUUAUAAUGAAAAGGUCAUGUACGUAGAAGGGACUGCAGUUGUGAUGGGUUUUGAAGAUCCCAUGCUACAGACAGAUGACACUCCUAUUAAACGCUGUCUGCAAACCAAAUGGCCAUACAUUGAGUUACUCUGGACCACAGAUCGCUCUCCUUCACUAAAUUAAUUUACCUAAGUAUUUAUAAGGAAGAUCUUAAUAACAGAUGUUGAAAGAAGGAGUCAAGACUGGCAGUUGGCUGGAUUAAGCUAAACACUGGUAUCAUUGAUUAACUGUAAAUAACAAUUAAAAACACAUUUUCAGUGU
rnacentral:sRNA from 1 species